rnacentral:misc_RNA from 1 species
CAUUUAUGAGCCUAGAUGAGAUCACUGAGAGAUCACUUAAACACCUUGAUAGUCCCAAGGUUUGUAAGGAUUUUGUUUGUGUAGUGAAGACGUGGCUUACUAAAUUAAAGCGGUCACGCUUAUUAGGUGGAAUUUUCAGUGAGACAAACCAAAGUGAAUUAGCAGCUUUCGCCUUAUAUGGGCUCGCCUUUCCUGGAGGCUUUUUGGCCCUUGUUGAUACUUAUGAUGUCAUGAGAAGUGGUGUUCCAAAUUUUUGCGCAGUAGCUCUUGCACUUAAUGAUUUGGGG